rnacentral:pre_miRNA from 10 species
GGAAGCUGACUCGCACUGGCUACUUGGCUCUGAGAACUGAAUUCCAUAGGCAUUAAAGCCUCUAAAAAUGCCCUAUGGAUUCAGUUCUGCAGCUGGGCAGCAAAUGAGCCUCAAACCUUCA